UCCUACGGGGCGCAGCAGUGGGGAAUAUUGCACAAUGGGGGAAACCCUGAUGCAGCGACGCCGCGUGAAGGAAGAAGUAUUUCGGUAUGUAAACUUCUAUCAGCAGGGAAGAAAAUGACGGUACCUGACUAAGAAGCCCCGGCUAACUACGUGCCAGCAGCCGCGGUAAUACGUAGGGGGCAAGCGUUAUCCGGAUUUACUGGGUGUAAAGGGAGCGUAGACGGUUACGCAAGUCUGGAGUGAAAGGCGGGGGCCCAACCCCCGGACUGCUUUGGAAAUUGUAUAACUGGAGUGC
rnacentral:rRNA from 1 species